rnacentral:lncRNA from 1 species
UUCAGAAUAAUAGCAGAUCAGGGCAGCUGAACUGAUAUCAGAUUUUGCCCUUUGGAUUUUCAGAUUUCUAAGCAUCUGGCUGUGGGAGGAGUUAUGACAUCUGUACACCUGCCAGACAGGGAUUAAAAUUUUUGCCAAAUUUGGGACCAGGAAGAAAUUUCCACCGCAUUCCCAUGACUUGGAUUGUGGUGGAUCCUUUCACUUCCUCUGAAUCAACAAAGACGGGAUCAUCAGGCUCUGAGUCCUCCCUGUGA